rnacentral:rRNA from 1 species
GACGAACGCUGGCGGCGUGCUUAACACAUGCAAGUCGAACGGUGAAGCGCCUUCCUUUUUGGUGGGUGUGGAUGAGUGGCGAACGGGUGAGUAACACGUGAGUAACCUGCCCCCUUCUUCUGGAUAACCGCAUGAAAGUGUGGCUAAUACGGGAUAUUCUGGGUCUGUCGCAUGAUGGGUCUGGGAAAGAUAUUGUUUCGGUGGGGGAUGGGCUCGCGGCGUAUUAGCUUGUUGGUGGGGUGAUGGCCUACCAAGGCGGCGACGGAUAGCCGGCCUGAGAGGAGGGUCGACGGCCCCAGUGGGGAUGCGCCGCGGACAAGACUACGGCGGGCGGCAGCAGGGGGGAAUACGGCACAGGGGGCGGAAGGAUGAUGCAGCGACGCCGGGGGGGGGAUGGAGGCCUGCGGGUUGUGAACCUCUUUCGGGAGUGAAGCAGGCCGGCCUCGUUUGUGGGUGGGUUGACGGUAGCUGGAUAAGAAGCGCCGGCUAACUACGUG